rnacentral:lncRNA from 1 species
UACGGUAGAGACAUAAAUGUGGAAGUUUUAAACAUAGGAAAGGCAUUUGAAGCCACAGGACUAGAUGAGAGCCCCAAAGGGUGGAUGCGGAUAGAGGAGUGAAGAGGCACAAGACUGCUGUCUAGCGGGUGGGGAGGAGAAACCUGCAAAGGAGACGGAUAAAGAAGUGGUCAAUGAGGCGGGGAACUCCCAGUGUGGUGUUACAGAAGUAGAGGAAGGCAAAUGCAUCCAGCUGGAGGAGUCAUAUGCUGUGUCAGGAAGUGAUAAUUUACACUCCAGCUGGUGAUCGAUCAUCUCAGAAUGGUGCAUGAGGUGAGCUGACAACGGCAGCCAGGGGAAGGAACGCGAGGGCCCAGGAUGGAAAUGAGAGCUUCAAAUGUGAGAACACAUUCCAGCUGCAGGAUCAGAGGACUUUUCCUACAGCCCAUAAGUGCCUGCAGCUCUAUCGGAUUUGCAAAUCUACAAAAGAGAGCACAUCCUAUUGUUCCCGGUUUUGAGUUUUUUUAAUAGUAUGUCUUGUAAAAUGCUGGUUGCUGGUGGACAGGGGUGUUUUACAGAUAGGUGUGACUCAGGAGGGGAAAUGGGUGGGCAGAGACAGCCACAAGGAAUUCCACACAUGAAGGAAAUGCUCCCACUUGUGUUUUCUAUUUGUGUUUUAAAUUUGGGGAGCGACUCACAGGCACUCAGCAAAAGUAACUAAUUAUAUUAACCUUAUCAGUAGUGAGGUUUCCUGGUCUCUCAUCAGACACUCAGCUCACUGGCUGGUAUUUAAUUGGGAGCCUGGUGGCCAGUGAAAACAGUGUGGGAUGAGUCACACUUUAACAAGUUUUUAUAGUACAGCAACCUUGCUGUAUAAUAGCCAGACAUUAUUAAAAUUCAGAUAUGGUACACUGACUUGUUUGUUUUCCUUAUUCACAUGAAACAGAUGCUCAGGACUCAUUUUACUUACACACAGUAAAUGAGGGUCAGCUGUGUUGAGGGAAGUGAGUACUUUGUUCUGGAAGGAUAGAUGUUGUAGCAAUUGUCUUGCUCUGAUUGUAUUUGAAAAGAAUGAAUGUUGUUAGUACAAUUUGGUAUUCUUCCAAUGCCUAGUUGGAGUUCAAGGGAUAUAAAACUGGGCGCUUGAGGAGUGGGAUGGAAAAGGAUGGAGAAGGAAGGUCAAAUAUGGCUUUGAAGGGGAUCAGCAGAAGCCAGAGGCCGCAGUGGUGAACACUCCUUGUGAAUGGCCCUUUGCACCCACGGCUUGGUGAACCCAGCAUGGACCGUGGAGAGAGGACCUGCCUAAAAACCAGAGACGGGGUUUGCCUCUCCGCAUCACCACUGGCUUGCUGCAUCAAGAAUCUGCCUUUCAGCUUCUUCACCUGAAACAAGGUGAUUGGGAUAGCUGGUUUUAUUUAUUUAUUUUUGAGGCCAUUCUAGCACUUUGUAAAGUCCAAGGGGGUGUGGUAUUGUAAUUCUUGGAAUAAUACAAUGAACAUCAGAUGCUUUGAAGUUUUCCGUUCGGUGGAUUCUGGGAUUCUUUUCUGAAUGAGUGAUUACUAGCCAACAGGAAUCUCAUGGUUCAACCUCAAACUCAAAAGUUAUUUCGGGGAUGGAAAAUGGUAAGAUUGGGGAAAAUCCUUCCACCUUCACCCCUGUGAAUUAGGAGUCUUGUUAAUUAGUAUACAUGAUUAAAUAUUGAGAUUUAUAGGCAUCAA